GAUGAACGCUGGCGGCGUGCCUAAUACAUGCAAGUCGAGCGAACGGACGAGAAGCUUGCUUCUCUGACGUUAGCGGCGGACGGGUGAGUAACACGUGGAUAACCUACCUAUCAGACUGGGAUAACUUCGGGAAACCGGAGCUAAUACCGGAUAAUAUUUUGAACCGCAUGGUUCAAUAGUGAAAGACGGUCUUGCUGUCACUUAUAGCUGGAUCCGCGCUGCAUUAGCUAGUUGGUAAGGUAACGGCUUACCAAGGCAACUAUGCAUAGCCGACCUGAGAGGGUGAUCGGCCACACUGGAACUGAGACACGGUCCAGACUCCUACGGGAGGCGGCAGUAGGGAAUCUUCCGCAAUGGGCGAAAGCCUGACGGAGCAACGCCGCGUGAGUGAUGAAGGUCUUCGGUUCGUAAAACUCUGUUAUUAGGGAAGAACAGAUGUGUAAGUAACUGUGCACAUCUUGACGGUACCUAAUCAGAAAGCCACGGCUAACUACGUG
rnacentral:rRNA from 1 species